ensembl:lncRNA
UUUUUUUUUUUCUCUUUUUACAUAAUCAUGUCAACUUGGAAAUUCAAUAUCGUGUAAUAUGUUCUGCUUUCUCUAAAUAUGAGCGAUUUUGGAUGCAUCCUACACGACGAUGAAUCAGGAAUGCCAUCAAACAUCCGUUAGCUUUCGUUUGUACGGGAUGACUUGUACAUGAAUGAAUCACAAACUCCGAUCGUUCCUGUCAUGCCAUUCCCUGUCCCGUCAUGUAGAACAAAUACCUGCAAGAAGGAAUGUCUUAAGAAUGAUUCACUAAACAUCAGGCGGUUGUCUGAGCGUUCGUUUUGGCAAUGACUCAUGUCUCCAGCUUUCACCCUCUAGGAUGAUCUACAGUGAACUCUUUAAGUGGUGUAAUGGUUCCACACCGGGCUGGCAUAGUAUUUAACAGACAAGCGUUCAAUGUAUUGACCUCAAACGGUUCUUAAAGAACCCUUUAAAAAACAGUUCUUCAGUAGUGUCCUGUGUGGAGGAAAAAUGGUUCUGGGUAGAACCUCUGCUCUUCACACAAACCUUCCUGGAUCCCUUAUUCCUAAGUGUACAAAAAAUCUGUGCGUUUUCAAAGCUUGAGAUUGUGUUUUUUUGCAAAUCUUGAACUUGCAUAUCAAGGUUGACUUGAUAUAAAUGGCCUGUAUUUGUAAAACGCUUUGCUGUUUUGCUGUUGCCUAUUGUCUGUUUCCAGUGUUCAAUCAGGGUCUUGUUCAGGGUUCUUUUCAUUUCACAAAUGUACUUUGGUGGUUAAAGCCAAGGUUGACAUUUUGGUAAACUCUCAUGCAUAACAGCGUGGCGACUGUGGGUGAGUGGGGAGCACGGUCGUCCUCCACUCAGAGGGUUGUUGGUUCGAUCCCAGGCUCUGCUAACCUGCAUGUCGAUGUGUCCUUGGGCAAGACACUUAACCCAACAUCCUGUAGCUGCGACUACAGUGUGUGAAUGUUAGUUACUGAUGGGCAGGUGUCACUGUGUGUGGUUCUCCUGUCAUCAGUGUAUGAAUGGGUGUGAAUGGGUGAAUGAUGUCAUGUAGUGUUAAAGCGCUUUGAGUGGUCGGAAGACUAGAAAAGCGCUAUACAAGUACAGUCCAUUUACCAUUUACCAAUUAAUUAAAUUAAUUUAAUUGAAGUGCGAAAACCAAAAGGCGCCGACCAGAAGCUUCCCUCUCAAAGACACGUAAUUGCACAUU